rnacentral:ribozyme from 14 species
UUUUUUUUUUUUUUUUUUUUUUUUUACUAGGCAUUGGGGCAAUGUCACAAAAAGCUGUAGUUACAUGAGUACCGUCUGCUCUGCAUCAAGGCCAAGAAGAAUCGUGAAGAAA